UAUACUCCAUUAUUUAAUUGUGUUGUUUGGU
rnacentral:piRNA from 1 species